rnacentral:rRNA from 1 species
GGCGGACGGGUGAGUAAUGUCUGGGAAACUGCCUGAUGGAGGGGGAUAACUACUGGAAACGGUAGCUAAUACCGCACAACGUCGAAAGACCAAAGAGGGGGACCUUCGGGCCUCUUGCCAUCGGAUGUGCCCAGAUGGGAUUAGCUUGUUGGUGGGGUAAUGGCUCACCAAGGCGACGAUCCCUAGCUGGUCUGAGAGGAUGACCAGCCACACUGGAACUGAGACACGGUCCAGACUCCUACGGGAGGCAGCAUG